ACUCAUUGUGCCAGUGACAUUCCGAAAUGCUCCAGAAACUUUUUAUCUGCAGAAGAAACUUCCAUCCUCAGAAAGGAAGUAUCGUUUAAACAGAGCUCAGAAGAAUCUCGGUGUCCUGGAGAACCAGACUCCAUACUAACCGGAACAGGGUUCUGUGGUCAAACCAUAUAAUAUAUAAUUAGACGCAUCAUCUCUGACGUCACCCAUUGACUUCCACAGUCCCUGAAAUGAAGCCUGAAUAUUCAGCUCAUGGCCGCAGCCAUAUUGGCUGGAGUUAACUCCGCCUCACACGGACGUUCCAAAUAUGGGAAAAAGGGGCGGGACCGAGUUCACCCGCUUUUCCUCCGGUUUGUUUUAGUUCACGCCCACAGCUCUGCCGUCUGCGGCUCCUCAUGCUAACGGCUAACCGCUUCAACUCUCCAGCAAAGCUGCACCGCGGUGGAUUAUUUACAUCAUGAAUCUGUACAGUUUGGAUUAAUGGUGACGUAAUUUCCAUUUGGCACCAGAAGGACCAUUCAACAAAACCACCACAGCGACGUGAGCUCAGCGUGGACCCACAUCACCUGGUUCAGCUGAGGCAGACGAUGGUGGACAUCUUUUAUUUUUAAUUCUACAAGGAAAAGCAGCUCCUGGUUCUCUCAUCACUGUGGAGGACGUGAACAGGCGGCGUCUGGAGUCUGGAGCUGUCAUGGGGAUCGGAGAGAACGUCCAGCAGCUGCACACUCUUCAACCCAGCACUAAACUUUAUUUUUCUUUAAUUUCUUACUGAUUUUAUUUUCAGUAGAUAGAAAUGUACUCUUUAGGAUCAUUUAUUAGGUUCUUUAAAUGUAUAAAAACAGACGGUAUUAUCAUAGAUGAUGCUUUCUAACCAUGACAUGUGUAAAGAGGUCCGUACCUUGAAUAAAGGAAAACUAAUUCUGAAUGUUCAAUGAUGAAUGUUUGUUAUGUUUUGAAUCAUUUCAUCUGCUUCAAAAAUAAAUUUUGUACAGAUCUGACUUUGACCCACAUUUCCUUUUGUCUUACCUAUAUGCUAAACAGUGAAUACACAGAAGAGACUGGUCACUCAAAUAUGUUAAACAUGAUUUUUAUUGAAUCACACAUCAGCAAGAGUCAAAUUCAUAUGUUAAAAUUAGAAUUUUACUGCCUUUAAAUGUAAAUGCUGGAUUGUUUUGGAUUAUAAAACCGCUCACCACCAGAAGCAGACCAGAAGAGGAACAUACAAGACAAACAUUAGAUACAAUUUAAAAAA